UGCCCAUCGUCGCAUUGAUCAGC
rnacentral:piRNA from 1 species